AAAGCACCGCGUCCUGACAGAACCAGACGCGUCUCAUCCAUCUCCCUCGGCCACACGCGGCUUCUCCUGCCACUCCAGAGGGCUAUCUGGCAGCUCGCCGUGACCUUCACCUGGACGCCGGACCGGGGACCUCGGCCCCUGCCCAUCGCAGAUUCGACAGCAACCGCGCGGGUUCCUCCGCGGAGUCCCUCGCGACGAAAGUCGAUGCCACGUGGUGGCGUUGUGACGUCACACGACAGCCGAUAUUAGCAAUGCAAACUCAACACGUUUGUCAACACUGUGGCCUUGAAAGGAAACAAAUAUUCGUUCCGGUUGAUGACUCAUCUAAUGCUAUGCUGUGAAAAAGGGCCAUUGUCCAAAACGUCGUCUGUUAUAUAUAUUUUUUCCUUUUAAGGCCAACGGUGUUAUUUACCAAUGUGUUGAUUUUUGUUUUUAUUGUUAAUUAUGCUUGUGCACCACUGAUAACUAGUUUACUAAUGCCAAGACGCAGCAGAACUAGACUCAAGCCCCGUUCGGGCUAUCAGGGGUUUGUGUGAAUGCCCGAGGCUCACGGCGCCAAACCAAGGUCCCCUUUAGAAUUCCUCCGGUUGCGUGUCAAUGUCUGAGGCUCACAGCAAAGAGAGCGAGGGAGAGUUUGAAGAGAGGCACAGCCGCAGACAAUCGCUCUGUUCGUCACCACGUGACCUUAAACACUCCCCAGGAUCACGAGGACCAAGUCUCUGCUUCCCGGGCCCAGUGGUUCUCAUCAGUUCAACAGUUCUUUGGAGAAAUUGUGAAAUGUUUAGGACCACUGGGACCGGAGGGGCCUCUCCGUCAAAGCCAAGUUCGACGUGGCGCCACACUCAAAGUGGUGGAAAUUCCACAUUCUCACGGCCAGGGCGAGGGAACCCACGAGACAAUCGGUGUUAUAUUUGCUGUGUGCCCAUACAAGCAUGCAUAUCAAAUGUAAAUUUAAUGUAAUAAAAUUUGUUACAAUAAAUAAUAAAACAAUACCUUAGUUGACUAUAUUUACCAUCUAAUUGUAUAUCAAUACAGUUAAUUGUAUGUUAAUAUAUACAGUACAUUGUUAUUGAAUUAUAUUAUGUUUGGCUUCA